AGAGUUUGAUCCUGGCUCAGGACGAACGCUGGCGGCGUGCUUAACACAUGCAAGUCGAACGGUGAAGGGACCAGCUUGCUGGUUCUGGAUGAGUGGCGAACGGGUGAGUAACACGUGAGUAACCUGCCCCCUUCUUCUGGAUAACCGCAUGAAAGUGUGGCUAAUACGGGAUAUUCUGGGUCUGUCGCAUGACGGGCCCGGGAAAGAUAUUGUUUCGGUGGGGGAUGGGCUCGCGGCCUAUCAGCUUGUUGGUGGGGUGAUGGCCUACCAAGGCGGUGACGGGUAGCCGGCCUGAGAGGGUGGACGGUCACACUGGGACUGAGACACGGCCCAGACUCCUACGGGAGGCAGCAGUGGGGAAUAUUGCACAAUGGGCGCAAGCCUGAUGCAGCGACGCCGCGUGAGGGAUGACGGCCUUCGGGUUGUAAACCUCUGUUAGCAGGGAAGAAGAGAGAUUGACGGUACCUGCAGAGAAAGCGCCGGCUAACUACGUGCCAGCAGCCGCGGUAAUACGUAGGGCGCGAGCGUUGUCCGGAAUUAUUGGGCGUAAAGAGCUCGUAGGCGGCUGGUCGCGUCUGUCGUGAAAUCCUCUGGCUUAACUGGGGGCUUGCGGUGGGUACGGGCCGGCUUGAGUGCGGUAGGGGAGACUGGAACUCCUGGUGUAGCGGUGGAAUGCGCAGAUAUCAGGAAGAACACCGGUGGCGAAGGCGGGUCUCUGGGCCGUUACUGACGCUGAGGAGCGAAAGCGUGGGGAGCGAACAGGAUUAGAUACCCUGGUAGUCCACGCCGUAAACGUUGGGCACUAGGUGUGGGGGGCCUUUUCCGGGUCUUCCGCGCCGUAGCUAACGCAUUAAGUGCCCCGCCUGGGGAGUACGGCCGCAAGG
rnacentral:rRNA from 1 species